rnacentral:rRNA from 1 species
GACGAACGCUGGCGGCGUGCUUAACACAUGCAAGUCGAACGAUGAACCCGGAGCUUGCUCCGGUGGAUUAGUGGCGAACGGGUGAGUAACACGUGAGUAACCUGCCCUUGACUCUGGGAUAACUGCGGGAAACUGUAGCUAAUACCGGAUACGACCCUCGGCGGCAUCGCCAGGGGGUGGAAAGAAUUUCGGUCAAGGAUGGACUGGCGGCCUAGCAGCUAGUUGGUGAGGUAACGGCUCACCAAGGCAACGACGGUAGCCGGCCUGAGAGGGUGACCGGCCACACUGGGACUGAGACACGGCCCAGACUCCUACGGGAGGCAGCAGUGGGGAAUAUUGCACAAUGGGCGCAAGCCUGAUGCAGCAACGCCGCGUGAGGGAUGACGGCCUUCGGGUUGUAAACCUCUUUUAGUAGGGAAGAAGCGAAAGUGACGGUACCUGCAGAAAAAGCACCGGCUAACUACGUGCCAGCCGCCGCUGUAA